CUAAAAUCUAGGGUUUUGUGGAGGGAGAUGAGGCUCUACACGUUUUGGGGGAGCUCUUGUGCUUGGCGAGUGAGGCUGGCCCUUGCAUUGAAAGGGAUUCCAUACGAGUACCAGGCUGUGGGUUUCGCAAAUGGCCUGCUCGACGAUGAGUUUUCGAAGAUCAAUCCCUUGGGUAUGGUGCCUGCUCUAGAAACCGAAGAAGAUGGACUUUUGAUCGACUCUGUAGCAAUUGUGGAGUAUUUGGAAGAAAAAUACCCAGAGAAGCCACUCCUGCCUAAAAACUUGAAGCAGCGAGCGACAAUUCGCCAGAUUGUCAAUCUCAUCGCGUCAAAUAUUCAGCCUCUGCAGAAUGGAGGCCGCGUUAUGAAUAUGAUCAAGGAGAAACUUGGCGACGAGGAGAGACUCAAGUGGGCGCAACACUGGAUUGUCAUUGGUUUCAACGCUCUCGAGGAGAUCGUGAAGAAGACAUCGGGAAAAUACUGCUUUGGAGACACACUCACCCUCGCUGAUGUGUUUGUCAUCCCACAGAUCGGCAACGCGGAGCGUUACAAGGUCGAUAUGACGCCAUAUCCAACACUCCGGAGGCUCAAGGAGGAGCUUCACAAGCUGGAAGAAGUGCGGCAGUCGGUUCCACGACUCCAGCCGGAUUUUCCGACGGAAUAGCUUGCGAAAGCAUCCAAUAAAACUUCCGGCUCAAUAAGUUCUCCAAGUAUUGCAGAGGAGGAUUCUAUUCAUGGUAGACGUCCAUAUACUCUUCAGGAUUUGUGAUCUGAAGAAAGCGGUGAGCAAUCGUGACAUGAGUUUCAUGCUCGAUCGUGAAGCCAAACUUCCUGGAGAGGAAGAGCCCCGGGAGAUACUUGCGUAGCGGAAAGCAGCAGCACCGGCAGUGGCAAAUCUAGGCACGGAAAUCUACUGAUAGCGUACGAGGGGUGGGAAGUCUUGCAUUGUCCAGCAGCAUUGAUUCAAGCUCUAGUUUUAGAGACUGAGGAAAAGGACGAUGAAAAGGCUUCGCUCGCUCCGCUAGCAGCAGCACUAGUUUGGUUUGGCGCGUUUUGCACAGUGGCCAAUGGUACUUCGCAACAAAAUCGAUUUUUUUUUUCGUUUUUU